rnacentral:rRNA from 1 species
GACGAACGCUGGCGGCGUGCUUAACACAUGCAAGUCGAACGGAAAGGCCCUGCUUUUGUGGGGUGCUCGAGUGGCGAACGGGUGAGAAACACGUGAGUCACAUGCCCUUGACUUGGGGAUAACUUCAGGAAACUGGGGAUAAUACCGGAUAGGAGCUCCUGCUGCAUGGUGGGGGUUGGAAAGUUUCGGCGGUUGGGGAUGGACUCGCGGCUUAUCAGCUUGUUGGUGGGGUAGUGGCUUACCAAGGCUUUGACGGGUAGCCGGCCUGAGAGGGUGACCGGCCACAUUGGGACUGAGAGACGGCCCAGACUCCUACGGGAGGCAGCACUGGGGAAUAUUGCGCACUGGGCGGAAGCCUGAUGCAGCACCGCCGCGUGCGGGAUGACGGCCUUCGGGUUGUAAACCGCUUUCGCCGGUGACGAAGCGUGAGUGACGGUAAUGGGUAAAGAAGCACCGGCUAACUACGUG